rnacentral:lncRNA from 1 species
CUUAAAAGAUUUAGAUGCACUAUUGUAAAGUGGUUGUUCCACUGGAUAUCAUAAGGUGAAUGCACCAUUUUGUAAGUCGCUCUGGAUAAGAGCGUCUGCUAAAUGACUUAAAUGUAAUGUAAUGUAAUGUCUUCUUUGGCACUAGGAAGUAGGGCAAAUAUAGCCCACUGUUCCUUUGCUCUUGGGGAACUACUGUGACCGCGUCCUUCGCCAAAAGUUCCCGUAAUCUCUUUCACAAGAGUGGCUACUUUCUCUCGCGCCUUCAUCACCGUCUCCACCACGCCCGAAAAAGGGGGAGGAGUUCGGUGGAAUUGGAUGGCAUCUCCAGCGUCUGACUUAGCCAGGAGGAGAGGUUGCAGCUUUGCUGCCACUCCAAGUAAUGCUCUGAGUGCGGGAGAGCGCGAAGCUGUGGUACAGACAGUAGGAAGGAUCUGGAUUUGGUACAGACAGUAGGAAGGAUCCCGAAAAGGGGGAGGAAAUAUUGACGCGUUCUGUGAGAAAUGGGAGCACCAACAAUUUGGUUAUACUCGUAACCUUGUGGUUCCAGCCCUCUGUGAACUCAGCACGGGUCUGAGCUACACUAACUGCUCUGGGGGGAUGGAUACGCAGGCUGUUUAAACCCCUAGCCACUCCUGAGUGUGUAGGGUAGGGUUUUUAUGAGGUAUAGCAUGACGGCUCAUUAAGAGCGUCCGUCUUGCUUCCCUCAUGUCAUUCCCACUCACAACGUCCACCUGUGUGUGCUCAGCUGUGCUAUACACAGAGUGGUGACAGGAAGAGAGAGAGAGAGAGAAGGAACCUGAGCGAUCUCAAUUUUGUUAUGGAAAAGAGGUUAUCUUGUGACAAAGUCAAAUGGAACACAUUCUUUAUUAACAAAGGACACAUUAGCUCCUCCAUCCCUUUGCCUUGGUGGGGGAUUAACAGUGGGCGCGGUCACACGAAGUGCUGCGCUCUCUCCCGUCCUCUCCUCGUCCCGUCAUGGUCGUCGUCUCUUCUGGCUGCCAGGGGGACGAAAGGAAAAGCUCUCUCGCCGGUUGAACAGCUGCCUUCUCUGGUGUUGCUGGAGGGGUGGAGCCCGCUCUUGGUACACCAGAUGCUGCCGCUCGAUGUGCUCUCCGUCUGGCUGUAGACCUAGGUCUACUGGAGACGGUGGAGCGAGGGGGUUCCUUUGAAGCUGCUCUAGACCCUCCUGCCAAUGGCAGGUGUCGAGACAGUUGCUUCUUCUCCUCCUCAAGCUUCCCGAAACGCAUCGUCACAUCUUUGACGGCAUCUCCAAAGAGACCGCUGUCAGCGAUGGGGGCAUUCAAUAGGGUGGCUUUGUCGGUCUCCUUCAUCGCCGUCAAAGACAGCCAGAGGUGUCGCUUCACGACCACCGAGGUGGCCGUGAACCUCCCCGCACAUACAGCCGAUGCCUGUGUGAGAUGGAGGGUGGUGCCUGAAAUGCUCGACGCUUCCUCUAGCUCCUCCCCCGACAGCUCAGUCCUACCCGUGGUGAGAUGGGAUAGAGAGGCUGCCAGGAGGGCAAUAUUAUUAGCUGCUGCUACAGCCUGUACACCUAGAGCGAAGAACUUCUCUAUCAGCUGUGCUGUGAGUCGGUCCUUAGUCGUAAGUAGUGUGGGUUUCCUGGGCGACGGCCAGAAGAUCGAACCUGGGGUGAGGCAUGCAGCUAGGGCGUCCUCGAGCCUAGGGAUCUGCUGAGGCCGUUUCUCGUCCACUCUGGUGAAUGGGGUGUACGCCUUUGCCGGCGCUCUGGCCAUUAAAGGUGACUCCUGAGAUCUUAAAAGAGCUUUUGGGAGUGGAGAAGGUGUGCUCAUGAAGGAUGUUGAGACCAGGAAAUCAAUGGCGGGUUCAUCCUGAGUCUUCUCUCUUCUCUUCUAGGCUUCUUCAGUCCAGUCCUGUCACUGAAGAUAAUGGGAGGCUGAUUGAGGGGAAGCUUCCCCUUAUGAAGGGACACCUGUACUCCUAUUGGCUGCAGGUGUGUGCAUAAUUUUUUCUCUCAAGCUAUUCGCUGUCGAGGCAGCGGGGUAAACCACUAGGAGCAGAGCUCCCCUAUCGGGUGGAGCUCCACGAUAUAGAACUGCUUCUAUAACAGAAAUCCCCGAUCACGCUUGUAGGCGAUGUCAUGGCGACGUUGGCUAGCUAAGCUCAUGCAUACAGUAGAAACACGCCAUCGGGUCUAAUGGACGUCUCGCACCGAACUGUGCAUGUGCAGGCCGUCAAAUUAAAGGCAGUCCUUC